CACGUAGGGACCAAGCGUUGUCCGGAUUCAUUGGGCGUAAAGGGCUCGUAGGCGGUUCGAUAAGUCGGGUGUGAAACCUCCAGGCUCAACCUGGAGACGCCACCCGAUACUGUCGUGACUAGAGUCCAGUAGGGGAGCGUGGAAUUCCUGGUGUAGCGGUGAAAUGCGCAGAUAUCAGGAGGAACACCGGUGGCGAAGGCGGUUCUCUGGGAAUGACCUGACGCUGAGGAGCGAAAGUGUGGGAGCGAACAGG
rnacentral:rRNA from 1 species